UACGGAGGGUCCGAGCGUUAUCCGGAAUCAUUGGGUUUAAAGGGUGCGCAGGCGGUAAAGUAAGUCAGUGGUGAAAUCCCUUCGCUCAACGAAGGAACUGCCAUUGAUACUGCUAUACUUGAAUAUAGUCGAAGUGGGCGGAAUGUGACAUGUAGCGGUGAAAUGCGUAGAUAUCAGUCGGAACACCGGUGGCGAAGGCGGCUUCUUGGGCCUGGACUGACGCUGAGGCGCGAAAGCUGGGGGAGCGAACGGG
rnacentral:rRNA from 1 species